AAAAAGAAGAAGAAGAAGAAGAAGAAGAAGAAAGACAUGAAUGAGUCACUUGAGAUUCAAACAUAAUUUCCUUGUUAUAUCACCAGAAAUAUUUAUGCACCUGCUCUCAAUAAUAAGUUUUCUUCUCUAUUACUUGUUUUGUAUUGUCAUUUUUUAUUCUCAUUGUCUCCUUCACAAAGAAACCCUCUGCAAAGUCUCUCUACCUCCAGCACAACACUUUGAGGUAAAACAAAGAUACUCCCCAGUAAGACUUAUGGAUAAUGGUUAAACAUGACUUGUUGUGGGUCAAAUGGAUUAAUGCGAUUUAUUUGAAAGGAUCAAAUUUCUAAGAUCCAGACUCAAGUUUUUUUUGUAGUUGAAAUGGGGGAAAUAAAAGAGAAGAGACGAGAAGAAAUGAUUUUUCUUUUCUGUUUGUUCCUCGAGUUGUUUCUUUCAAUUUAGUAUGAUAUUUUUCAAUAUUUUGUUUGUUUUAGUUCUUAUGCUUCUACUUGUCUUGAUACUGAAUUAGGAUGCCUCUGACAAAUUACUGAAACUUUUGAGGUUAGCACUUAUUCUGCUUUAUCUCACCUUAGUUCUUCAAAUAAUUAAGUGAAUAGGGACUUUAAUACAUCUUUGCAAUAGUAAUAUAAGAAUUUGUCCCUAGCUUCACACUCCAAUUCCCUGAGUUGCAGAAUAUGUGGGAUUUGAUGCCUGAUACAAACUUGUUAAAGGAGGUCCCAGAAUCAUACACAUUUGAAACUGCCCUUGCUAAUUUAAUUGUAAGUGCUCGGUUCAGUUGAAAAAAAAAUAAGACUUUAGCUGUUUGCGUAAUUUUCUUGUCAACUUUGCAUUUAAUUCUCUUCUGUUCACAAUAUAAAAGAAAAAAGAAAAAAAAAAUCAUCAAAGACUUGUUAGGUAUGACAUUGAUGUGAUAUUGUUAUCAUUGAUACAUGAUUGGAUCGCUUUGUAGUUUGUGGUUUUUAGGGAAUUAUUUAUGGUUGUGCUAGUUGUAUUUGCAACUUGAUUGUUUUUUCUCUUUUUCGCUCUAACUUACUACGUAAGGGGAUUGAAUUUGAACUUGUAAUACUAUUAGUUUCCUAAUGUACACGUGUCAGUUAUAGUUAGGUAUUGUUCAGUAAGUUAGUUAUGUUAACUAACUCCUAGCUAGUCCUAGGAUCUAUAUAAGUACCUAAUUACCUACUGUAUUAAUGUUGUUGUAACAAUACACACUCAUAAUAUACAACACAAGAUUCUUUUACUGUAAUAUAUUGAACUUGGUGUUCAAUGGCCAAUCGACCUAUGUCCAUGUGAGCUCAUCAUGAGUGUUUGAGAGAGAUCAAUGCUAGACUUUGCAUAAUAAGUGGUAUCAGAGCAUUGGAGGAGGGCUAAGAUCAUCGAGGAUAGUUCUCCACUUGGGUUGGCCGAAAUAUAUGAACUUAGAUUAAAGGUGAUGCAAUUUUCCUAACGUACUGGGCGUAAGUACGGGCGUCAGUGAUAUAUGAUGAGUACCGAGCGUAGGUACGAGCUCACCUGAUUAGGUGAUGCAAUUUUCCUGGCAACGUACCGGGCAUAAGUACAGGUGUCAGUGAUAUAUAAUGAGUACCGAGCGUAGGUACGAGCUCACCUGAUUAGGUGAUGCGAUUUUCCUGACGACGAAUCGAGCAUAGGUACGGGCGUCAGUGACAUAUGAUAAGUACCGGGUGUAGAUUUUUGGCACAGGCUCACCUGAUUAGGUGAUGCAGUUAUGUGACAUAUGGGUGUCAGGCUAUGGCACGGGCUUGCUUGAUUAGGCGAUACAAUACAAGAUUAUCAGAUUAAAGCAUCGACUUGCCUAAUUAGGCAACGUGAUGUUAUGAAGAUGGUUGUUUUAUGAGGUAAAGGCAAAGAAAAGCUAGAUCAACCAUGAGGAGGCAGUCUUCUCCAGCAAUGUACAUAUUGACCUCAUUGGCCUGCGUGCUGAGUUUCCAGGAGUUGUUUUGGGCUGGCUGUAUCUAUUGUGUAUUUUAAUUUUGUGUUUAAAUGGUUGUCGUAUAUAUUUCUUUAGCAAAACUUUUUUUAACAGGGAUCCCCGGAACACACUUUUUAUGCCGUUAUAAUGUCCAUUUUAGUAUUUUAUUUUAGUCAACUUUUUAAUAUUAUCACGGUUUUUAAUAAUUAAUUAUUCUACCAGUAUUAAAGUAGUUUAUAAAAUUACCCACGUGGCGUCCCUAUAGAUUAGGACGUUACAAGGUAGUUCGAAGUGAAUUGUCUUGUUUCUUGUUCAAGAAUUCAGUGAAAAACAAAGAAGAUGGGCACUGCAAAGUAUGAUCUCGAGAAGUAUACUGGAAAGAACGAGGACUUCGGUCUAUGGCAUGUGAAGAUGAGGGCCAUGUUGGUUCAAUAAGGGCUUCAAGCAGCCCUACUGGAAGAGAAAGACUUGCCAACUUCGAUGACAACAAAGGAGAAGACCGAGAUGCUCAAAAAGGCUCAUAGUGCCAUGAUUCUCAGUCUUAGUGAUAAGGUGUUGCGUGAAGUUUCGAAGGAGAAAACAGCUUCCGGAGUCUGAAAUUGGAAAGCUUAUACAUGACCAAGUCACUCGCAAACAGACUAUUCUUGAAGUAGAAACUGUAUGCAUUCAAGAUGACAGCAGGGAAAAGUGUGGAGGAUCACUUAGACGAAUUCAACAAGAUCAUUCUUGAUCUUGAGAAUAUUGGAAUUAAGAUCGAAGACGAAGAUCAAGCUAUCACUGUUCUGAAUUCAUUGCCCACUGAAUCAUAUGAAUAUUUUGUGGAUACAAUGAUGUUUGGAAAGGAAUCAUUGACUCUUGAAGAAGUUCAGAAGGCUUUGAUGUCAAAAGAGUUAAAGAAGAAAUCUGAGCUAAAAAAUUAAGUUGAUGGAGAUGGCUUAUUUGUUCGAGGCAAGAAUUCCAAGAAAGGGAGCAAGGAGCACACUGGACAGAACAAAGAUCAAGGGAAAUCAAAUUCAAAGUUUAAAAGAAAGUGCUUCAUCAGCAGCAAGACUACUCAUCUUAGAAAAAAUUGUCCAAUUCUGAAAAUCUACAACCGAAAUCGAUUAGGUGAUGCAGAAGUGAUUUCUGAUGGUGAUGACAGUGAUGGAUAUGGUAGGGUUGUAGUUCUUGUAGUCUCAUAUGCAAAUUCAAGAACUGGAUGGGUGAUGUACUCUGGAUGUUCAUUUCAUGUAUGUCCAGAUAAAUCAUAAUUCAGUGAAUAUCAAGCAAUGGAAGGAGGGAUUGUAAGAUUAUGAGAUAAUGGAUCAUGUCCUAUCACUGGUUUGGGCAAAAUCAAGUUACAACUUCAUGGUGGAGGUGUUGCAGAAUCGAAGCAAGUGAGACAUGUUCCUGUUGGGUUUUGUGCCCUAAAUAAAACCCAUUUCAAUAUAAUCAGAUUUACUUAUUAAUAAAGAUCAGAAAUAAUAUUUUAUGU